rnacentral:rRNA from 1 species
GAUGAACGCUGGCGGCGUGCCUAAUACAUGCAAGUCGAGCGAACAGAUGAGGAGCUUGCUCCUCUGACGUUAGCGGCGGACGGGUGAGUAACAAGUGGAUAACCUACCUAUAAGACUGGGAUAACUUCGGGAAACCGGAGCUAAUACCGGAUAAUAUAUUGAACCGCAUGGUUCAAUAGUGAAAGACGGUUUUGCUGUCACUUAUAGAUGGAUCCGCGCCGCAUUAGCUAGUUGGUAAGGUAACGGCUUACCAAGGCAACGAUGCGUAGCCGACCUGAGAGGGUGGUCGGCAACACUGGAACUGAGACACGGUCCAGACGCCUACGGGAGGCAGCAGUAGGGAAUCUUCCGCAAUGGGCGAAAGCCUGACGGAGCAACGCCGCGUGAGUGAUGAAGGUCUUCGGAUCGUAAAACUCUGUUAUUAGGGAAGAACAAAUGUGUAAGUAACUAUGCACGUCUUGACGGUACCUAAUCAGAAAGCCACGGCUAACUACGUG